AUAAUAAAUUAAAGAUUUAACCCGUAUUGAAACGGUAGAUUAAUUAUAUUUUACUUUUUUAUUAAUGUUGAUUCAAAAACCCGUCCCUCCAAAUCCGUCUUGCCAAAAAGGUAUUUAUUUUAUUAAUAUUAAUUUUAUUAAUGAUAUGACUCUGAAUUAUAAUCUAAACAUUUUAGCUAAUAACAUAGGAGUGCACCAUAUUUAUUUAAUAGAGGAAUGUACCAUAUGACCCGAAUGCACUUUUAUCCAAAUCCACCAAAAAAAUCUUGCAAAAAUAAUAUAGAGAUAAGAAACGAUAGUCGGUUUUGAUAGAUAUAAGAUUAUCAAAUAUAUUAGUUAGCUUAAAUUAGUUAAAGAAUACAAAUUGAAAAGGUAUAUUACACUUUAUU
rnacentral:sRNA from 1 species